rnacentral:lncRNA from 1 species
GUAUUCACUUUCAUAGGACGAGUUAGUAAUAAUAGUAUGCUUCUUAGCUUGCAAAAAAAUUAAGUUCUUCCUAAAAAUAUUGUGAACACUUGUGGAAACCAACCGUCAACGUGUCAUAUCCAAUCUAGAUUAGAGAAAACCUAAAUGGCCAUUACCGAGUGGAAUAAAGCUCAUGCAAAAGUUACCAUGUCAUGGAGAUAUCUUAAUGCCCUUUAUACUGUGCUAAAUAUUUCAAA